CGUUUCUCUCACUUUCAUCUCCUUCCUCACUCCAAAACAGACUGUCUGUCUGUCUGUCUGUCUGUCUUCUUCUGCUGCUUCGCUCUCUCCCCCUCUCUCUCUUGCUGGCAUGAAAAUUGGGGAUUAGGGUUUUAAUCAAAUUCUCGAUUCUUUCUCCCCAAUGGCUGCUUGUUCUCUACCUCUACUGGAACUGACCUUUCUCUCACCACAAACCACUCCCAAACGCCGCCUUUCUACCUCUGGAGUUUCUCUCUCUAGAUUCUCUCUUAUUGGAUACCCUAGGGGCGGUGUUCGAUCCCGAAUCAGAGCGACUAAAGAGGAUGGCCUCGUAGUUGAAGAGACGAUCAACAAAGUCAAUGGUGUCGAGUUGGGUGGUAAUGGCGCUGCUGCUAGUACUAGUGGUAGCGAUUACAGGUCCAAUGGCUCCGUCAACAGCUACUCCAAUGGCAGUGCUAAUGGGGCGACUAACGGGAGCUUGGUGAAGUUCGUGAAUGGCAAUGGAGUGGCAGCGGAAGUGGUGGAAGGAGUUCAAGUGUUGGAGACGAAGGAGGAAGGAAGGAGGAAGAAUAUUGAGGAAAUUGGAAAGGAAGAUGCGUGGUUUAAGCAAAGCGGGCUACCAAAAGUCGAGGUCUCUGUUGCACCCGGUGGCCGUUGGAGUAGAUUUAAAACUUACUCGACAAUCCAGAGGACCUUGGAAAUAUGGGGAUUUGUUCUAAAAUUCAUUAUAAAGGCUUGGUUAGACAAUCAAAAAUUCACUUAUCGAGGGGGAAUGACAGAGGAGAAGAAAACCUUGAGGCGUAAGGCACUUGCCAAGUGGCUUAAGGAGAAUAUUUUGAGAUUAGGUCCAACAUUCAUUAAAAUUGGCCAGCAGUUCUCCACAAGGGUGGACAUUCUUGCUCAAGAAUAUGUUGAUCAAUUGUCAGAACUUCAGGAUCAAGUUCCUCCUUUCCCUUCAGAUACAGCUAUUUCUAUUGUUGAAGAAGAGCUUGGUGCUCCUGUGGGAGAUAUCUUUGAUCGGUUUGAUUAUGAACCAAUAGCUGCUGCUAGUCUUGGUCAGGUUCACCGUGCAAGAUUGAAAGGACAGGAAGUUGUUGUUAAAGUACAGAGGCCUGGACUUAAGGAUCUUUUCAAUAUUGAUCUUAAGAACCUGAGGGUAAUUGCAGAAUAUCUUCAAAAAAUUGACCCAAAGUCAGAUGGUGCGAAGAGGGAUUGGGUUGCUAUCUAUGAUGAGUGUGCAAAUGUCUUAUAUGAGGAGAUUGAUUAUACCAAGGAAGCUGCGAAUGCUGAACUAUUUGCAAGUAACUUCAAAAACAUGGAUUAUGUCAAAGUCCCAAUGAUAAUAUGGGAAUACACUACACCACAGGUUCUGACAAUGGAGUAUGUCCCGGGGAUCAAGAUUAACAAGAUACAAGCUAUAGAUCAAUUGGGCCUUGAUCGGCAAAGGCUGGGCCGGUAUGCUGUUGAAUCGUACUUGGAACAAAUUCUGUCUCAUGGAUUUUUUCAUGCUGAUCCUCAUCCUGGAAAUAUUGCUGUGGAUGAUGUCAAUGGUGGAAGGUUGAUUUUUUAUGAUUUUGGAAUGAUGGGGAGUAUCAGCCCAAACAUUAGAGAAGGUUUGCUGGAAACAUUUUAUGGAGUUUAUGAAAAGGAUCCAGAUAAGGUCCUUCAGGCAAUGAUUCAGAUGGGUGUUCUUGUGCCUACUGGAGAUAUGACAGCUGUCAGACGAACAGCACUAUUUUUUCUUAACAGUUUUGAAGAGCGACUUGCUGCACAGAGAAAGGAGAAAGAAUUGGCGACAGCAGAGCUUGGGUUUAAAAAGCCAUUGAGCAAGGAGGAAAAGAUAAUGAAAAAGAAAGAAAGGCUGGCUGCAAUUGGGGAAGAUUUAUUAGCCAUUGCAGCAGAUCAACCCUUCAGAUUUCCUGCGACAUUCACAUUUGUUGUUAGAGCAUUUUCAGUAUUAGAUGGCAUUGGGAAGGGUCUUGAUCCUCGAUUUGACAUUACUGAGAUAGCCAAACCCUAUGCACUGGAAUUGCUAAAAUUUCGUGAAGCUGGAGUUGAAGUCAUUAUAAAGGACCUCAGAAAUAGAUGGGACAGGCAGUCUCGUGCGUUGUAUAACUUAUUUAGACAGGCUGACAGAGUUGAAAAGCUUGCUGAAAUUAUACAAAGAUUGGAGCAAGGUGAUCUGAAGCUUAGAGUUCGGGCUUUGGAAUCUGAGAGGGCAUUCCAGCGGGUUGCAACUGUCCAGAAGACUGUUGGAAAUGCAGUUGCUGCUGGAAGCCUAAUAAAUCUCGCAACAAUCUUGUAUAUUAAUUCCAUUCGAGUUCCUGCCAUUGUAGCAUAUGUCUUUUGUGCAUUUUUUGGUCUUCAGGUUCUCAUUGGCCUCAUAAAGGUGAAAAAGUUCGAUGAGCGGGAGAGAUUAAUAACAGGAACUGCUUAAACAAUUGGAAUUUUGGCAACAAGUUGAAUGACUUUAACAGGGAGAACUUAAAUCAAAGCUUGUCCGGGAUGAUUACUUGGUCAAACCCACCAACCUUGUCUUUGAUAUUGUUAAUGGAUCUUACCACAUCAUUAACAGGAAAAAGAUAUGAUCCAUAUGAUAUAGUUGGGUCUUAGAGAAACCAAAUGGUGGAGGGAAAUCCAGCUCAUGGUUUUACAAGUCAACUUUCUGAUCCUUGAAGAGAAUUAGGGUCGAUCUUGGGAAUGCAGACUAUAUCAUGGUUCUUCUAGCAACAAAUAUGAUCCUGAACUACCAUUUCACAGGUUUGUGAUGGUUUUUUAGAAGCUGAGCACUGGGGCUUAUUCAACCAAAGUUUAAUAAGAGUUGGAUUUGUAACUCUGUUCGGUUAGGUUGGCUAUUGCGACUUUGUUUCAAGUAGUCCCAAAAUUACAUUCCCGAAUGUAGUUAUAUUGAAGAUGUGUCGUCAUUUUUCAGGUCGAUGACUGUAUAAGGCAGCUUGCAGUCAUAACAUUGUAAUUUGUUUUGUAAUUAUCUUAUAGCUAAGAGCCUGACAUGCCAUUCUGUGGUCAAAAUUUGGGCUGCUGGGAUGUGCAUAAUUGUUGUAUAAUGUUGUAUCAGACAGAUUUUCGAAUUUUCGAGCUGAUAUGUAAUUAUAUAUUUAAUUAGUUUUGCACUUUAAA